rnacentral:rRNA from 1 species
GACGAACGCUGGCGGCGUGCCUAAUACAUGCAAGUUGAGCGCUGAAGGUUGGUACUUGUACCAACUGGAUGAGCAGCGAACGGGUGAGUAACGCGUGGGGAAUCUGCCUUUGAGCGGGGGACAACAUUUGGAAACGAAUGCUAAUACCGCAUAAAAACUUUAAACACAAGUUUUAAGUUUGAAAGAUGCAAUUGCAUCACUCAAAGAUGAUCCCGCGUUGUAUUAGCUAGUUGGUGAGGUAAAGGCUCACCAAGGCGAUGAUACAUAGCCGACCUGAGAGGGUGAUCGGCCACAUUGGGCCUGAGACACGGCCCAAACUCCUACGGGAGGCAGCAGUAGGGAAUCUUCGGCAAUGGACGAAAGUCUGACCGAGCAACGCCGCGUGAGUGAAGAAGGUUUUCGGAUCGUAAAACUCUGUUGGUAGAGAAGAACGUUGGUGAGAGUGGAAAGCUCAUCAAGUGACGGUAACUACCCAGAAAGGGACGGCUAACUACGUG